ACCUAGUAAGCGUAUGUCAUUAGCAUGCGUUGAUUACGUCCCUGCCCUUUGUACACACCGCCCGUCGCUACUACCGAUUGAAUGGCUUAGUGAGGCGUUCGGAGAGCCUAUARAGAGUUGGCAACAGCACUUUACUGGUUUGAAGUUCUACAAACUUGGUCAUUUAGAGGAAGUAAAAGUCGUAACAAGGUUUCCGUAGGUGAACCUGCGGAAGGAUCAUUAUUUAAAAUGUAAAGGAGUGCACUUYAUUGUGACUCUGACACUUUUAAAUAUUUAAACCAUUUUAAACCCAAAGCUGUUAUGUGUGCCUUUUAGGUAUAGCAUCUCAGUAGUACGUCUCAACUUUUGUUUUGACAUUACCCCCCCUUAUAAGUGACCCCCCUUUUUGUGCAUUGAUGGACUUUAAAUAAUGUUUUAAGAAUGUAAACCCUAUAAUCAUAUAACUUUUAACAAUGGAUCUCUUGGCUCUCACAUCGAUGAAGAACACAGUGAAAUGUGUUAAGUAAUGUGAAUUGCAGAAUUCAGUGAAUCAUCGAAUCUUUGAACGCACCUUGCACCUUUUGGUAUUCCAAAAGGUACACCUGUUUGAGUGUCAUGAAACCCUCUCAUUCUAAUUCUUUAUUUGAUAUAAGGAGUUGGUAUGGAUGUUGAGUGUUGCCGUCAUUGGCUCACUUUAAAUACAUAAGUACUUUUAUCUUGAAAAAUAAAUGGAGAAAUACUUGGUGUAAUAUUUAUGUUUCAUUAAGGAGUGUGGUUUAAUUACUACAGCCAUUUGUUUUGGAUAAAUAGCUUCCUAACCCUAUUAUAUUUAAACUUUAGACCUCAAAUCAAGUGGGACUACCCGCUGAACUUAA
rnacentral:rRNA from 1 species